rnacentral:tRNA from 1 species
AAGAGAAUGAAGAAUCUAAAAGAAGCUGCUAACUAUCUUUUAAAGCGGUUAAAUUCCGUUUUUCUCUUAUUUAUGUAGUUUAAUUAAAACAUUUCAUUUUCAAUGAAAAAAUGAGUUUUACUCUAUAAA